UACAGAGGUGGCAAGCGUUGUUCGGAAUUACUGGGCGUAAAGGGCGAGUAGGUGGCCAUCUAAGUCAGACGUGAAAUCCCCCGGCUUAACCUGGGAACUGCGUCUGAUACUGGACGGCUUGAGGAUGGGAGAGGGAUGUAGAAUUCCAGGUGUAGCGGUGAAAUGCGUAGAUAUCUGGAGGAAUACCGGUGGCGAAGGCGGCAUCCUGGACCAUUACUGACGCUGAGGCGCGAAAGCGUGGGGAGCAAACAGGG
rnacentral:rRNA from 1 species